UAGAUGCACGCAUCCUGGACGAGCACUCGAGGAGUCGAACAGACUAACGACUGAAUCACGGAACGAUCGAUCUGGCCUCUGAUUUGCUCGUAACUUCUGUUCGGACGUGCCCUACGCCUGUUGGCGGACAGCAAUUAACUAAACCCAGCGCCCCAACUCCCACCAUCACCUUCUGCAAAAAUCAACAACGAAUUCAUCACAGGGGUCAUACUUGGCCUUCCAGCGCCGACGGCUCCGCCGGUCCAAGUCAAAGCCAGGCGUCUCAGAACCACAUUCCCUUCAGCUCCACAGCCAGCUAGCAACCUCAUCAUCAUCAUCUCUUCAUCCGUGAGGAAGACAACAGCUGUAAGCUGCUGAAAGAAGACUCCAGAGCCAACUACUAGCACAUUGUAGCCACCAACUCUUGACGAGGCUAAAUGUGCUAUGACUGGACAAAGAAACCACCAGAACCACCAUGCUACCUCUACUAUGCAACCAGCUCUGGGCAAACGUAGCCACCAGGUAUUGAUCAGGCUAAAUAUGCAAGCAGCAAACAAACAGAAGCCCAUAACCAGCAUGUUGCUUUUGGUACACAGCCCUCUAUGAGCACCAUGUAGUCACCAAGUUUGAUCAGACUAAAUGUGCACCUGCUUUUGCUAUGCAAUCACUAUUGUACAGAAAAUCUAAGCACCAUGUUCUCAACCCUUUGUAUAUAUCUAUGUAUUUAU